rnacentral:rRNA from 1 species
UACGUAGGGGGCAAGCGUUGUCCGGAUUUAUUGGGCGUAAAGAGCUCGUAGGUGGUUUGUUACGUCUGCUGUGAAAUCCUAGGGCUUAACCCUGGGCUUGCAGUGGAUACGGGCAGACUAGAGGUAGGUAGGGGAGAAUGGAAUUCCUGGUGUAGCGGUGAAAUGCGCAGAUAUCAGGAGGAACACCGGUGGCGAAGGCGGUUCUCUGGGCCUUACCUGACACUGAGGAGCGAAAGCGUGGGGAGCGAACAGG